rnacentral:rRNA from 1 species
UACGGGGGGAGCAAGCGUUGUUCGGAUUUACUGGGCGUAAAGGGCGCGUAGGCGGCCACCGCAAGUCGACUGUGAAAUCUCUGGGCUUAACCCAGAACGGUCAGCCGAUACUGCGGGGCUAGAGUACUAAAGAGGGUCGCGGAAUUCCCGGUGUAGAGGUGAAAUUCGUAGAUAUCGGGAGGAACACCAGUGGCGAAGGCGGCGACCUGGUCCGAGACGUGACACUGAGGAGCGAAAGCCAGGGGAGCAAACGGG